GGACGAACGCUGGCGGGCGUGCCUAACACAUGCAAGUCGAGCGGGGACUUACGACUGAGUUGAAGACUCGGUUGAAUAUGAAGAUGUAAAGUUCUAGCGGCGGACGGGUGAGUAACGCGUGAGCAACCUGUCCCUUACAGGGGGAUAACACAGCGAAAGUUGUACUAAUACCGCAUGAGACCACAGAGUGACAUCAUUCAGGGGUCAAAGGAGCAAUCCGGUAAGGGGUGGGCUCGCGUCCGAUUAGAUAGUUGGUGAGGUAACGGCCCACCAAGUCGACGAUCGGUAGCCGACCUGAGAGGGUGAUCGGCCACAUUGGGACUGAGACACGGCCCAAACUCCUACGGGAGGCAGCAGUGGGGAAUAUUGGGCAAAUGGGGGAAACCCUGACCCAGCAACGCCGCGUGAGGGAAGAAGGUUUUCGGAUCGUAAACCUCUGUCCUUGGUGAAGAGGAAGAGACGGUAGCCAAGGAGGAAGCCCCGGCUAACUACGUGCCAGCCGCCGC
rnacentral:rRNA from 1 species